UUGAUCCAUGUAUACGCCAAUCGAAGGAAGUAAGCCUCUCUCUCUCUCUCUCAGAAUCUGGUGAAACCUAAAGAGGAAGCAGAGACGAUUCAGGAUUCCCCUGGGAAGCAGAGACGAUCCCUAUCUCUGACAUGGCUGCUCCAUCUUUGGUUCAGCGGCCAUCGCCUACUUUGACGACGCUACAUCUCCUCCGUUCUUCUUUGGUUCAUUCACUUUUCUCCUUCUUCAUGUUCGAUUUCCUUCUUUUGGGAUAAACUGAGGGUUUAGUGUUGGCAAAGGAGUUGUUGUUGACUUUCAUUAGCCGUCAAAAUUCGAAUCCGGAAUCGAUCGCUUAUAACGGCGAGCCAUGACUGCUGCACGAUCAGUGAUUCAUUGUCAUCCGAUUUUCAGAAUUUUGUUCGUUAUUGGCUUCCACCUUUCAGCUUCAAGACGUUUGCAUAUGAAUCUUCGUAUCCUCCGUCGGAUAUAGAUGUCUGGAAUCAGUCUCGCGGUGGCCGUUUUCGAUUUUUCUCCGAUGAUCUUCCAUCUUACGGGUAUACUCUCUCUCUCUCUCAUGUACUUGUUGGUCGAUUUGGAUCUGUUUGCGAUUUCAAACAGAAUUCGAGUCUUGGUGAAUAUUUGCUAAUUUAUUGUAAUCUCUAACAAAAUUACUAAGACGAUGAAGGUGAAUUCGUAUUAUGUAUGACUAAAAAAUAUUAUUUUCCAAGAAGAUUUCAUAACAUUGUAAUUCACUAGAGUUUGUGGUAAUCAUGCAUGUCUUUUUCCUUUGUGAUAAUGAAUGUCUUUGUUCAAACUUUUCAUUGGUAAGGUAGUUAUAUAUAGAUAUUGUGUUUGGGUUCUCCAUUUAUAAUCUGCUAGAGUUUAGUUUUAAACACAAACACAGUGCUAAAUUCGUUUUCCUUGGGUUCAAUCAUCCCUCUCGGGUUUAGGGUAUAGUUUUGAAUACAAACAUGUUAAAAUCGUUUCCCUUGGGUUCAAUCAUCCCUCUCGGGUUUAGGGUAUAGUUUUAAACACAAACAUGUUGUUAAAAUCGUUUCCCUUGGGUUUAUUCAUCUUUUUCUGCU
rnacentral:lncRNA from 1 species